rnacentral:rRNA from 1 species
CGAGCACGCGCGUGUGGCAUAUCAAUAAGCGGAGGAAAAGAAACUAACUAAGGAUUCCCUUAGUAACGGCGAGUGAAGCGGGAAGAGCUCAAAUUUGAAAUCUUCAAGGUUCUACCUUGACGAAUUGUAGUUUAUAGAAGUGUUUUCUGUUAGUGGAGUGGCAAAAGUUCUUUGGAAUAGGACAUCAUAGAGGGUGAGAAUCCCGUAUUUGGUCAUUCCUCCUAGCGUUGUGAUACACUUUCAACGAGUCGGAUUGUUUGGGAAUGCAGUCCAAAAUGGGUGGUAAAUUUCAUCUAAAGCUAAAUAUUGGCGAGAGACCGAUAGCGAACAAGUACCGUGAGGGAAAGAUGAAAAGAACUUUGAAAAGAGAGUUAAACAGUACGUGAAAUUGUCAAAAGGGAAGCGUUUGACACCAGUGUUGUUUUUCCGAAAAUCAAUUACGAAUGUUUUGUUUUUGAGGAGUUAUGACUUCAUCGGCUUGCUCCUUUCUUUACGAAACUUUCUUAAUGCACUUUUCGGUUAACAAGUCAACAUCAAUUUCUUUUGUUGUAAAAGGGUACGAGGAAGGUGGCUUUCUUUUCGGAGAAAGUGUUUAUAGCCUUGUGCCUCUGCAAUCGGAGAGAUUGAGGUCUGCAGCGUAGAUCCUUCGGGGUUAGAUACAUUUGUGCUAAGUUAUAGCCUUGUAUAGACAACUUGUUGACUAUGCUCAGUCAUGUAGCUUACUCGCUGAUGCUAUUUUACCUACGCUUAGGAUGUUGAGCGCAUGUCUCUCUCU